rnacentral:tRNA from 1 species
GGGAAUAUAGCUUAGUGGUAGAGUGCUUGCCUAGCAUGCAUGAAGCCCUAGGUUUCAUUCCUUGGUACCA